UCUCAUUUCCUCUCUCCUAUAAAAGGAGAAAAUCAAAUUUUCUUUCUCAUUUUCUCCUCUUGGCCGUGGGUUCCUCGAGAGAAAGAAAGGGAGAAGAAUUUGCUCACAACUUGCUCAUUUCUUGCUCAAAUCUUGUGAUUCUUGAGGGCUUUGAAAGGUUUGGAUCAAGUUGAGCUAACGAAGGAUCAAGUUAAGGCUUGCAAUUACAUUAGUAACACGUGGCGUCGCCUUCGCACGGAAAUGAAGAUACACCUAUGUGUAGGCGACGAGCGAUGGAUUGAGGGAUUGACGUUCAGAUGAUAAUGCCCUAACAGGUGUUGCUGUGAGUAGCUGUUGAUCGCUGCCAGGAGGUGAUUGGAUUGAUUUUCGGGAAGACUCCUUGAAGUGAGUAGAUUAACCGAAGACUGGUAAAAGUAAUAGCUAGAUGUAAGGCUAGAGCCUUGGGUAGAGAAGUUUACUGUUAUUGGUUAAAGCUUAUAGGGAUGGUUGUAUAACUCACUUUGGUUUUGGGUAGGUUCCGAUGCAUUGCUCUUCUGCAACUCUCCAGUGCGGGGAUUGUAGGAAGUAUAUUGGACUUAGGGUGUUAUCGCAUUCUGAACCUUGUUGUCUGUCAAGGCAUUACGUUAUUGUAUAUUACAUGUAUUGAACAUCCGUCGUCACUCACAAGUGUUUGCCUUGUUAAGGCCGGAUGUAUGGGUUUGGGCAAGUAUAUGUCAUAUCAGGUUUUGGAAAUGUUUUAGAAAACAAAUGAAAAAAAAAUAUACCCUUAUUUGUAAAUCCUUUUGUAAAAUCAUUUCAUUUUAUUUAA